rnacentral:rRNA from 1 species
CGGGACACGUGGUAUCCUGUCUGAAUAUGGGGGGACCAUCCUCCAAGGCUAAAUACUCCUGACUGACCGAUAGUGAACCAGUACCGUGAGGGAAAGGCGAAAAGAACCCCGGCGAGGGGAGUGAAAAAGAACCUGAAACCGUGUACGUACAAGCAGUGGGAGCACGCUUAGGCGUGUGACUGCGUACCUUUUGUAUAAUGGGUCAGCGACUUAUAUUCUGUAGCAAGGUUAACCGAAUAGGGGAGCCGAAGGGAAACCGAGUCUUAACUGGGCGUUAAGUUGCAGGGUAUAGACCCGAAACCCGGUGAUCUAGCCAUGGGCAGGUUGAAGGUUGGGUAACACUAACUGGAGGACCGAACCGACUAAUGUUGAAAAAUUAGCGGAUGACUUGUGGCUGGGGGUGAAAGGCCAAUCAAACCGGGAGAUAGCUGGUUCUCCCCGAAAGCUAUUUAGGUAGCGCCUCGUGAAUUCAUCUCCGGGGGUAG